GAUAGUGGAUGCAGCUAAAGCUCGUAGUUGGAUUUCUGGUUCGGCGCAUUUGGCCCUGUCCCGGUUUCCGGGCGGAGUGCUGGUGUGCGCCAUCCAUCCUUCGAGAACGCAUAUCUUCCUCACGGUUGGUAUGUUAUCUCGAUCUUUUACUUUGAAAAAAUUAGAGUGUUUAAAGCAGGCUUGCGCUAUGAAUACAUUAGCAUGGAAUAAUAAUUUAGGACUUUGGUCUUAUUUUGUUGGUUUCUAGGACUAAAGUAAUGAUUGAUAGGGACAGUUGGGGGUGCUAGUAUUCAGCGGCCAGAGGUGAAAUUCUUGGAUUCGCUGAAGACUAACUUAUGCGAAAGCAUUCACCAAGGAUGUCUUCUUUAAUCAAGAACGAAAGUUGGGGGAUCGAAGACGAUCAGAUACCGUCGUAGUCUCAACCAUAAACUAUGCCGACUAGGGAUGGGUGAACGUUGCUUAUUCGACUUCAUCCGCACCUUAUGAGAAAUCAAAGUCUUUGGGUUCCGGGGGGAGUAUGGUCA
rnacentral:rRNA from 1 species